AGUGAACGCUGGCGGUAGGCCUAACACAUGCAAAUCGAACGGCAGCACAGUAAGAGCUUGCUCUUACGGGUGGCGAGUGGCGGACGGGUGAGGAAUACAUCGGAAUCUACUUUUUCGUGGGGGAUAACGUAGGGAAACUUACGCUAAUACCGCAUACGACCUACGGGUGAAAGCAGUGGAUCUUCGGACCUUGCGCGAUUGAAUGAGCCGAUGUCGGAUUAGCUAGUUGGCGGGGUAAAGGCCCACCAAGGCGACGAUCCGUAGCUGGUCUGAGAGGAUGAUCAGCCACACUGGAACUGGGACACGGUCCAGACUCCUACGGGAGGCAGCAGUGGGGAAUAUUGGACAAAGGGCGCAAGCCUGAUCCAGCCAUACCGCGUGGGUGAAGAAGGCCUUCGGGUUGUAAAGCCCUUUUGUUGGGAAAGAAAAGCAGCAGGUUAAUACCCCGCUGUUCUGACGGUACCCAAAGAAUAAGCACCGGCUAACUUCGUG
rnacentral:rRNA from 1 species